rnacentral:rRNA from 1 species
ACGCACGCUGGCGGCGUGCUUAACACCUGCAAGUCGAGCGGUAAGGCCUUUCGGGGUACCCGAGCGGCGAACGGGUGAGUAACACGUGGGUGAUCUGCCCUGCACUUCGGGAUAAGCCUGGGAAACUGGGUCUAAUACCGGAUAUGACCUCCUAUCGCAUGGUGGGUGGUGGAAAGAUUUAUCGGUGCAGGAUGGGCCCGCGGCCUAUCAGCUUGUUGGUGGGGUAAUGGCCUACCAAGGCGACGACGGGUAGCCGACCUGAGAGGGUGACCGGCCACACUGGGACUGAGACACGGCCCAGACUCCUACGGGAGGCAGCAGUGGGGAAUAUUGCACAAUGGGCGAAAGCCUGAUGCAGCGACGCCGCGUGAGGGAUGACGGCCUUCGGGUUGUAAACCUCUUUCAGCAGGGACGAAGCGCAAGUGACGGUACCUGCAGAAGAAGCACCGGCUAACUACGUG